rnacentral:piRNA from 1 species
UNGUAGAUGUGCGACGCUUCUUAGUUGA